GGGGGGGGGGGGAAUGUAUAUAGGUAGUUAGAGAUCUCCCUGCCUGCCUCCUCCCCUCCCCCGAGAAGGGCAGCUCCGAUCCUGCAGAAACGCCUGAAACUGUUUCAGACCAAGGAGCUUUGUGCUGACUUCACCGUGCUGCAAGAUCAGUCCUUCUUCCCCAUCUAUGCAAGUGAGACAACCUUCCCCUCCCCAUACUGCAGAUACAACUGAGGUGGAUUAAGCACCUGAAAUCAUUUCUUCUUCUCAAUUAAGUUCCAGAUCCAAGCAAGGUACAGCUCAAAAUUAUCAUGUGAUAUAUCAUUGCAGAAUCACAGAAUGUGCUGAGUUGGAAGGGACCGACAAGGAUCAUCGAGUCCAGCUCCUGGCCCUGCACGGGACCAUCCCCAAGAGUCACACGAUGUGCCUGAGAGUAUCAUCCAAACACUACUUGAACUCUGUUAGGCUUGGUGCUGGGGAGCCCAACCACUCUCGGGGUGAAGAACCUUUUCCUAAUAUCCAGCCUAAACGUCCCCUGACACAACUUCUGGCCAUUUCCUCGGGUCCUGUCCCUCGUCACCACAGAGAAUAGGUCAGUGUCUGCCCCUCUUCUUCCCUUCAUGAGGAAGUUGUAGACUGCAAUGAAGUCUCCCCUCAGUCUCCUCUUGUCCAGGCUGAACACACCAAGUGACCUCAGCCACACCUCAUAUGGCUUCCCCUCAAGGCCCUUCACCAUCUUCAUUGCCCUCCUUUGGAUGCUCUCUAAUAGCUUAAUAUCUUUCUUAUAUUUUAGUGACCAAAAUGCACUGAAAGCUAUUACUUCAUCACUCAACUCUCUUUAGAAAUUGAUACUGUCAGUUCAUUUUUAUUGUUAUCUUUAUAAGAAAUUAUUUCAUUUGGUGUUAAAUAUAAAACUAUUUAUUGAAUACAGUUUUUGAUAUUUGCAUAUUUCAUUUGACUCUGAAUAUGGUUGCUUGAUGUAUUUGUAAUGAGUCUCUACUUCCAAUGCAAGUUUCAUUUACUUUAAUGAACAGAUCAGUUUGCCAAUUGUCUCCAUGAGUAAAUUUGGAUCUGUGGUUGUUAUCACUUGUUACAUUUCUUUCUCUAACUUCCCACCUCAGUGUCACAACAGGAACAGAAUAUUUGUUUGUUUGGAAAAUAGACACAUAGGAACACACUUGAGUCUUGCUCUAAAAAGCAAUGGCAAACUAGAUGGGAAAACUCUCUUCUGAAACCCAACCUGUGAUUAUAUUUUAGUAUCAGAACUUUAACAAGGAAUCAUGUUGGUGUAGCCUACAUUUUUAAUGUAGUCCUUCAGGUAGCGUAGACAUAAUUGAGUUUAUAAUGUAGUUUGUUAGAGAAGUGAUAACGCACCAGAAGCAGCUCACAGAAUUCUGUGUGAAAGAAGAGACUUGUACUUAUAAAUAAAAUUUAUUACUAAUUUUAAACAGUGAGUAUUUAAUGAACAUAGUAUAGAAAAUACUGCCUGACCAAGUCUCCAGUUAAUAUCCAGGUUAAGCUCUGCAACAAAACCAAUCUCACCUGUACCAGCAUUAGGCCUUUCUUACAGAUUACCCAACACAUGUAGUUAAUAAUAAUUAGAUGUGGUCUUCUUCCCCGACUCAACCCUCCUGUCCUGACCAAACCUGAGUUUUACCAAGCAACCAGAGCCACCCACAGUGCGUGGCCCCAUCGUCUCGACACUUGCGUAUUUUCCCAACAGUUUGCCCAGCUUGAAAGCCAUGGCAUGGAAGGUAACGUGCAGACGUCUGGCAUCCCUGCCCUCCCGAUCCAGUUGUGAUUUUUUGGCAUCCUGCGACCCCUAGUGAGAGCCGGGGCGGGCGAGAGGGCAGCAGCCACCCUGCCCCCGCCUCUGGCCCUCCGGCCCGGGGCCGCCAGCGCCGGCGGGCUCCCGCCAGGCACCCGCUGUUUCCAGGUCGUGGGCAAAACAUCUCUCUAGGGAUUUCCGUUUCCCCCGUUAACUGGCUGAAAGCUACUAUAAAAACAUAAUAACGCGUUGCCUUUGGUCGCUUUGAAACAAUGCGCUGAUUGUGUUGCAACUUCACACACAAAACUGCUAUAAACUCUCAAGGCAAUGGAGGGAGAGGCAAGAGACAGCACCCGUCUUCUACAUACCACCCCAAAAAAAGAAAUAAAAUUGCCGGCUACACUUCUACUUAAUUAUGUACAUGUAAGGCCUAAGCCUUUGCAAAUAACGACUAAUAGUAUUUGUUUGCCCACUGGUGUUAGGAAAAUAUCAGUGAGAAGUUAAGUCUCACAGCAUUCAAAAUUGCAAGCUAAGCUUUUUGCUGUUGCCAUCAUGCUCAGAUCCACCAGAACAAUGGAGUUUAAAACAAUGAUUGAUUCUGUUCUAAACACAUACAUGAAUUAAGAGCUGAGAAUGUAAACAUGCAAUUAUUAAAGAGGAAAGGGUAUUUCUUAACUUGGUUCAUUUCCCUCAACUAAGAUCAACUUGGUAUUCAUAUAUAUGCAUCAGAAUAAGUUUGAAUAUACAAACUAUGUUAUAUAUCAAAUUGUUUUCUGCACUUAAACAUACUGUAGACACACUUUUAGGGCCAUUGUUACAGUAUGAAAGGAGCAAGUCUGCUGUUUCAGUUUCUACCAUUUACAAAUAAAACAUGCAAACAAUUCUACCUAAUGCUAAAAAUGAAUAUGCAAGAACUUAAUAUUGUGAUUGUUCAACAGAAAUUGUAAUACACAUGAACUAGUCUAAAUAGAUCACUUUUUCAGUUGAAAGAUCUUGACAAUCUGACUGGUGAAGCACUGCUAUCUAUCAGAUGAAAAGAUUACAGGAUAUGAAACAUAGCUGGUUUUCAAAGACACAUAUUAAUAUCUUGUGAUAUUUUAAUUUCCAAAGAAACAGUAGAGGCCUAGAAUGAGAGGAUUUUAUUCAGCCUUUUAUAUAAAAAUAAUUAUGGCUUUUCUUUGAUUUCCUGCCUUCUGAUUUGUAGCUUCCCAACACCCACUAAAUCCAAAGUCAAGCUGUCUAGUCUUUCAGACUUCCUAGAAGUUUCCAUUUGCUUACAAGUUGAGUUGGGCCAUAUCAUACUUGGAACCAAAACUAAAAAGUUCAAAGAUCUUCAGCAGUUCAGAUUUCAAAACCUAUUUUGAACUCAAACAAUUUUCUUUGAGAGUUGAAAUUCUCACAGAUGUUUGAAAUUCUCCCAGAUGUUUGCAUAAUGUGAGUGUGGAUAACACGAAUGUUAGAUGAGUCUGCAAUUGCCAUCUCCCAUUUUUCCAAUUUUUUUUUUACCUAGUUUAGUACCUCCUAUCUGUUGGCCACUUAGCUAAAUCACCACUUUAAGCAACAUACUGUCAAGCCUAUAAAUUGCCUCUGAGAAAAUGACUAAUGCAGAAUUCAUUGUUAGUUAUACUUCUUUUAUGUAUUUAAAACACCUAUUAUAUGCUUCUAAGGAAAAAAAGAAGUCCACCUUUCUGCAGCAAUGUGGUAGAUAUCACAGCUUGCAUAACCCAUAAUAGUAUAUUAGUGAACAAAUAGUAAAAGAGCUGUGUCUCUUCUACAAAAAUCUCUCCUCAAUCUGUUAGGCUGAUUUUUCUUUAACUUUGCUCCACAUAUGGGCAACCUAUUACACAGAAGUUUUUAUAGGCCUGUUUGGCUGAGCAGAGAAGAUGCGAAUCUGUAAUACUAAUAUAAUCCUAUUGUGUCACAAUGAGGGAGGAAAGGCCAAACAGUCCAUCAGAGGCAGUAAAUCUGAUUCUGUGCAGCAAUGUACAUCAUGCUGAUGGCUUGGUUCAUGGUUAUUGGGUCCUUUACUGCUGCAUGAAUCAAUCUGUUUAAAAAUAUUUUUAUGCAAUUGGAAAUGUUCAUAACUAGAAGUAAAUGGUAUACUUUUUAAAGCAUGUGGUUUAUAUUCAGAGUUUUAUCUGAUUUACCAAAGACCUAAGCAGAAAAUAAAGAUUUAUUUUUUUU